rnacentral:rRNA from 1 species
UAGAGUUUGAUCCUGGCUCAGAUUGAACGCUGGCGGCAGGCUUAACACAUGCAAGUCGAGCGGUAACAGAGAGUAGCUUGCUACUCUGCUGACGAGCGGCGGACGGGUGAGUAAUGCUUGGGAAUAUGCCUUAUGGUGGGGGACAACAGUUGGAAACGACUGCUAAUACCGCAUAACGUCUACGGACCAAAGGGGGGGAUUCUUCGGAACCUCUCGCCAUUUGAUUAGCCCAAGUGAGAUUAGCUAGUUGGUAAGGUAAAGGCUUACCAAGGCGACGAUCUCUAGCUGGUUUGAGAGGAUGAUCAGCCACAUCGGGACUGAGACACGGCCCGAACUCCUACGGGAGGCAGCAGUGGGGAAUAUUGGACAAUGGGCGAAAGCCUGAUCCAGCCAUGCCGCGUGUGUGAAGAAGGCCCUCGGGUUGUAAAGCACUUUCAGCGAGGAAGAACGCCUAGCGGUUAAUACCCGCUAGGAAAGACAUCACUCGCAGAAGAAGCAUCGGCUAACUCCGUGCCAGCAGCCGCGGUAAUACGGAGGGUGCAAGCGUUAAUCGGAAUUACUGGGCGUAAAGCGCGCGUAGGUGGCUUGAUAAGCCGGUUGUGAAAGCCCCGGGCUCAACCUGGGAACGGCAUCCGGAACUGUCAAGCUAGAGUGCAGGAGAGGAAGGUAGAAUUCCCGGUGUAGCGGUGAAAUGCGUAGAGAUCGGGAGGAAUACCAGUGGCGAAGGCGGCCUUCUGGACUGACACUGACACUGAGGUGCGAAAGCGUGGGUAGCAAACAGGAUUAGAUACCCUGGUAGUCCACGCCGUAAACGAUGUCGACCAGCCGUUGGGUGCCUAGCGCACUUUGUGGCGAAGUUAACGCGAUAAGUCGACCGCCUGGGGAGUACGGCCGCAAGGUUAAAACUCAAAUGAAUUGACGGGGGCCCGCACAAGCGGUGGAGCAUGUGGUUUAAUUCGAUGCAACGCGAAGAACCUUACCAGGGUUUGACAUCCUGCGAACCUCUUAGAAAUUUGAGGGUGCCUUCGGGAAUGCAGUGACAGGUGGUGCAUGGCUGUCGUCAGCUCGUGUCGUGAGAUGUUGGGUUAAGUCCCGCAACGAGCGCAACCCACGUUUUUAGUUGCCAGCAUUUAGUUGGGCACUCUAGAAAGACCGCCGGUGAUAAACCGGAGGAAGGUGUGGAUGACGUCAAGUCAUCAUGCCCCUUACACCCUGGGCUACACACGUACUACAAUGCUACGGACAAAGGGCAGCAAACUCGCGAGAGCUAGCAAAUCCCAUAAACCGUGGCUCAGUUCAGAUCGUAGGCUGCAACUCGCCUACGUGAAGUAGGAAUCGCUAGUAAUCGCAGGUCAGCAUACUGCGGUGAAUACGUUCCCGGGCCUUGUACACACCGCCCGUCACACCAUGGAAGUUGGCCAUGCCCGAAGUCGUUACUCCAACCCUUGUGGAGGAGGACGCCGAAGGUGGGGCUAAUGACUGGGGUGAAGUCGUAACCAAGGUAACC